rnacentral:rRNA from 1 species
CUAGCGACUUCAGAGUUUGAUCCUGGCUCAGGAUGAACGCUGACAGAAUGCUUAACACAUGCAAGUCGACUCGAGUCUUCGGACUUGGGUGGCGCACGGGUGAGUAACGCGUAAAGAACUUGCCUCUUAGACCGGGACAACAGCUGGAAACGGCUGCUAAUACCGCAUAAGCGCACGGUCUCGCAUGAGACAGUGUGAAAAACUCCGGUGGUAUGGGAUGGGCCCGCGCCUGAUUAGCUAGUUGGUGAGGGAGAGGCUCACCAAGGCGACGAUCAGUAGCCGACCUGAGAGGGUGACCGGCCACAUUGGGACUGAGACACGGCCCAA